GAGUAGCAGCAAUGGACCUGCCUUUUUUGGUUGAAACUCCUACAACUCCCCCCACCUAAGUUGAUAAUUUGCACUGGUUGUAAGUCGAAUUUGCACUUAGUUCCUGGGGCAGUGCUGAGUGGAGCAAGCAAGGGUGGGGCCCAUGCCAGAGCCUCCCACCGCUUUCCGCACAGAACCUGGGAGUGGGAAGGCUUCGGGACGGGAGGUUGCCCGGGAUGUGGAAACACUCCCGGGAAGAUGCGUCGUUGCCUCGGUAACCACGUCGCAGUUGCCACAGAUGGCUGGUGAGGUCUUGGGCUCAUAGUCGGUUCAACUCCAGGCUCCUGGGGAGUGUCUGGGCUUCGGCGACUAGGCCUAACCUCCUUUAUCUUCGGGUCUGAAACUCUCUGCCUCUUUUACAGAGAGGCAGCGUUCCAGGGACUCCGCUCCUGCCACCCGUUCAACAACCCUCUACACCUGGACCCGACCUCCUCGCUUUGGAGGAAGAAUAUAAGAUCUUCAGUGUAUUCCAGUUAUUUUCUGCUUUUAGGCGUUUAAAUGCAGAAUUGCAGGCAAAAAAAGCUGACGUGGUUCGACAAGCUAAGGAAAUAAUACAGGAAACCAUUCAGAAGUGGGAAGCCUCUGAACGAGCUGUAUACUGUGUAGCCAUGAGCUUCUGAUUUCUCCAGGCAGAAUGCUGGCCCUCAGGGCCUCUUUCUGCUUUCCCUUGUUCAGACCACUGAGGACUACCACUGUCCUGUCUGAUUUCUCCUGUUUUGCCCUAAUUCCUGUGUUAGGAUGACACCACGGCACAGAGCCACCUCUCACCUGACCCAUGAUGAGAUGCAAACACAUGAGGAAGAAGAUUUUUGAGCCACUGAAAUUUGGAGGUUGUUCGUCACCAUCGUUUAACCUAGCCCUCACUGACUGAUGCAGAGCUGAAGAAUGAGUCAGAACUGGAUCUGGGAUGUGAAGGGCAUUCCUCCAGGCUAAGUAAAAUUCAAGUCUUGUUGCAAAGAUAACAGGGAGCACGAUGUGUUAUUGGGGUGAGUGUGGGAUAAAUAGGGUACAUCAAGUGAGAAUAAUGAGAAAUUCAACUUUAAAAGACAGUGCUAAUUUGGACGGUGGAGAGAUUCCAAUGUCCUACUUAGCAUUUGAAAUUGUGAUGGCUGAACAAACUCAUUAAGAACCCCAAACGAAAGCUUGGGAUAAAUAUCCGAGGGUGUCUCAUAUGCCAUUUUUUUAUCCUAGAAUGGGCAGAGUCCUUCACCCCAUUCUAGGGAGACUUCCAGAAGAAAAAAGACCUGUAUUUCUCCAACAACCCACAUUGAGAGACUUUCCUGCACUUUUGACCUGUGGCUAACACUCCUCACCUUUCAUUCUGUCCUCAGUGUUUUGGGGAAACACCUUUAACUCUCUAUGACUUACAGGUUAUUAAGUGGUGCUUAUAAUUCCCCCAAGAGAUAGAAAAGACUAAUGAUAAGGAAGUCUGAGCUCAUAGCAGCAAGGGGGCAUGUGUGCUUAGCAGCCACGUGGCCCAUCUGCUAGGAGAUUACAACAUACGACGUUCCACAACAUUGCUUAACACAAGGGGACACUCUCCUGACUCAGAGGGAUAAUUGCUCAACUACUGCUUUUUCUGCCCUCUUGGACUCCUAAAAUGAAAAGAACCCUGGGUGAUAAAGUGAGUCAAAGGGGUGCCAACCGUAUCACAGCAAAAUAAAGAUCCCUAAAAAAAUCCCUGGCCUAAGAUGACAGCCUUAGCUGGAUAAGUCUGAAUGUGCUGACAGUGGACACGGGAGAGUGAAGGUGGUCAAAAUGUCCACAUUAAAGAACUUCCGUGCAGACUGCAAGAAAAGAGAGAGGAAUGGAGAUGGCAGCCCGAGUCCCUACUCUAAGGCUGGUCGCCUCGCUGGGAGCUCAGACACGCCCAUACCUCUCCGCGCCCAGAGACUACAUCACCACUCCACACCCAAGCUCUACAUGCAGCACCUAGGCUGACGCUGAAAAACCCUGCCAAAAUUUAAAAGAAGCCCCGCCAAAACCCGCCCAAUAGCAGUUUGUUCCAUCCACGUCCCGCUUCCCCUGGGCAGCUCGCUCACCAGAAAUCCUGCCUACCUACCAAUGGCGGCUGGCCCCUUUCACGUCCUGUUCCCUCAUAGCCAAUCAGGACACCCUCACUCGCUAUAAAACCCCACACCUCGGGAAGUCGAGCACGACUUUCCUGGCCCCUUUCCCCGGGACCAUGGAACCUCGUCUCGGAAUUGAAUAAAUUGGCAUUUAAUUUUCUUAUGCUAGUCUCAGUUUCCUCAUUCUAAACUCGGCAAUAACCCUUACACCUACCAUAAAA